GGGCUUGUAGCUCAGUUGGUUAGAGCACACGCCUGAUAAGCGUGAGGUCUCUGGUUCGAGUCCAGACAAGCCCACCA
rnacentral:tRNA from 1 species